UGGGGAAUAUUGGACAAUGGGCGCAAGCCUGAUCCAGCCAUGCCGCGUGUGUGAUGAAGGCCCUAGGGUUGUAAAGCACUUUCAACGGUGAAGAUAAUGACGGUAACCGUAGAAGAAGCCCCGGCUAACUUCGUGCCAGCAGCCGCGGUAAUACGAAGGGGGCUAGCGUUGUUCGGAAUAACUGGGCGUAAAGCGCACGUAGGCGGAUUGGAAAGUUAGGGGUGAAAUCCCAGGGCUCAACCCUGGAACUGCCUUUAAAACUAUCAGUCUAGAGUUCGAGAGAGGUGAGUGGAAUUCCGAGUGUAGAGGUGAAAUUCGUAGAUAUUCGGAGGAACACCAGUGGCGAAGGCGGCUCACUGGCUCGAUACUGACGCUGAGGUGCGAAAGUGUGGGGAGCAAACAGGAUUAGAUACCCCCGUAGUCC
rnacentral:rRNA from 1 species